rnacentral:rRNA from 1 species
CCUACGGGAGGCAGCAGUAGGGAAUCUUCCGCAAUGGGCGAAAGCCUGACGGAGCAAUGCCGCGUGGGUGAAGAAGGCCUUCGGGUCGUAAAACUCUGUUAUAAGAGAAGAACAAAUUGUAGAGUAACUGCUACAGUCUUGACGGUAUCUUAUCAGAAAGCCACGGCUAACUACGUGCCAGCAGCCGCGGUAAU